UGGGCCACCUUGCAUGGCACAUAACAUGGUCAGGAAGGUGGUUUUCCAGGGCAAGGUUUAUCCAUUAUACUCUGGAUGUGCUGACUCUGCCAUUUCCUCAAAUAUGGGAAACCCGACUGUAUAAUUUGUGAUAUUGGUGGACAGUAUUCACUUUCUCCCC
ensembl:snRNA U1 U1 spliceosomal RNA